AAUGCCUGUCCUUCUGCAGCACAGGGGCAACACCAGGGAAACAAAUACCUGCUGGCAAGGUUGAAGAACCCAAAACGAAACCUAUUCCCCAGCUCUGGAAUCCCCACUAUUGUUAGAAGAUGAUUCUGCAUAAGAACACAGCUUGUUCAUCUGAUUUGCACAGAAGGGGGAAGAAGUUUUUAUGGAAAAGAUAAACUGCAGACUCAACUCUUUGUGUGGAUAUGUGUGUGUAUGUUAUUAAAGCCUGCUGAAAGGCUAUUUAUGGAUUUUAGUGAGAAGGCAUUGUUUUCAUUUUUAUGGAGCUAAUGAAAUCUGGGGUUUUGUU